rnacentral:lncRNA from 1 species
CUGUCCUGUUAGCCAGCAGCCGAGUUGACGGCCAAGGCCGCCGCCUCCAGCUGGUUUUAAUUGAGGGGAUGGUGCCUGUGUGCAGGACGUUGAAUACGAGCCCAUGGAGCCUCCAAUUCCAGUACUCCGGCCUGCAGGUCCAGGGAACUCCAGUACCAUUGUGGGAGGAAGAUUCACACAGACGGAAGUUAAUGAAUAAUGUGAAGAAAUGUCACACAUGUCCAGUGAGAAGAAAUGAUGUGUGCUACAGGACUUCAACUGAGGAAGGGAUGCCUGCGUGGUCAGAGGAGGCUCAUGGAAAAGAAGACUGCAAUGUGAAGACCCAGAGGCACAGGGAGAGCUGUGAGAAGAUGGAAGCUUAGACUGGAAUGAUGCGUCAAUGAGCAAAGGAACACCAGGGAUUGCUGGCCAUCACCAGAAGCUAGGGCCUGGAACACAUUCUCCCUCAGAAGGAACAAACCUUGCUGAUGUCUGGAUUUCAACGUUCUAACCUCCAGAACCAUGACAGAAUAAGCUUCUGUUCUUUUAAAGCCCCCAGUUUGUGAUGCAUAGUUAUGGCAGCCCUCGCAAACCAAUACACCCCCACAACAGGAAAUUAUCUGGUCCCAGAUGUCAAUAGUGCCACUGUUGAAAAACCCCGCAUUAAGAGAACAUGACGCUCUCCUACUCUUAACAAGCAUUCUACCCCUUUCUUCCUCUUUCCAGGGGCUGCCAAACAUUCUGGGGAAGGUUGGAAGCAGUUAUGCCUGUAUCCAGAACAAGGGGGAGAGCAGGCUGUUUCAGAGUGAAAACCUGUCUUUUAAAAUGCUUAACAUGGUUAGUGCAUCUGGCAACUUAAUUAGCCUUGGUGCACCUCGGGAAUGAGAGGUACCUGCUGGAGUUAUGCUGAUGAAUUGCAAUAUUGUUUUCAUAGCGCAAGACCCUGGGUCUCUUCCCAGCCUGGGCUGAAAGUCUCUGGCUUUCAGUAGUUGGCUGGGUGGUCUGAAGUUUCCUCUACAGUGUUACAUUCUAUUUUGUUAGUCUCUGUUUCCUUCACAAGGCUUAGGGCUUUGUUUCACCCCCACCAAAAAGCAGUAUUUCUUGAGAACUGGAAAGGAAAACAUUCCACUAGGUUUUAACCAGAAAAAUGAUGUGGCGGGAAGACCAAUCCUAUCCAAAGUAAAUGAAAUAAGCCACCAGUGCAAUUUGCUGAUUCAUUAUCUGUUAAAGUAUUAUUGCCACAAAAUGUACUAUCUCAGGGCCUAGAUAGCCCAUUCAGCUCUUGGGUGUAAAACCCAUUUCAUUAAUGAGCCUGGCAUUUGCAGAACUUGUGCCCUGGUUUUCUUCUAUGCUGAAAUAAUAAGUUGAAUAACAAAUUGUAAAGGCCGUGUUUCUCACUUGGGUUUCAGGGGGUCUGCCUCCUUCUAUGAGGGUGAAUAUUUUAAUGGUACUGUGCCUCCACGCAAAGACACAAAACACACACACCUACACACAAAACUGCCCAACAUGGUGGGUAGCUUGCACAGACUUGGAAGCUAGCAGCUCUUAAAAUUGGUGCAGAGACUUUUAAAAUGAAUCCUUUCAUCCAUUGAAGAAACUGCAAAGUGAAUUAAAUAAAAUCAGGCUAAAAAGACUGAUGACUCAUAAGAAAUAGAGCAACAGCCAAUGACAAGUAGACCUUCCAGGAAUAGAGCUCCCAGAGAAGUUCCCAUUUUCCUUAGAGGAAAGUGAAGAUGACCUUGACUCUAUUAGCAUAUCUUGUUUGCUUUGGGAGAGCUGUUUCAGCUGGCUUGCCCAGGACGGGUGCAUUUUCUGUUUAAUUUGUGUGCCAUCGCCCCCCUUAUUCCCUAGGGCCCAGCAUCUAUUGGCUACUCAGUGAUGCUGUUAAUUUGCACCAAAACUGGCAGUGGCAAGACCUUGAAAUUUUCUUAUCUUGGGCCUUAUAAAUGAUAUUAAGCCCAUCCUUUAGCAUCUCUAUGCCUCAGUGUGUUUACUGGAAAAACAGGUGAGUGAGAAUGGGAGUCUGUAGAUUUGCAACAUAGAGAUGUUAAAAGGAUGCCUUCUGUCAUCAUGGCUCUACACUUCUUGACCUUCAACUCGAGCCAGUUUGUUUUUGGUAUGUAAUUUUGAGAAGUCUGACAACCUAAUCAUUCUUCUAAGAUAUUUAUUUAGUUUUACUGAGCUUUCAGAGCAGCAGGUUUUAUGUAACGGAAGCACUGAAAUUGAAGCCUGGAUACCUAGGUUUAAGGCCCAGCUCUGUCACUUACCAGGUGUGUGACCCCAGGCAAGUUACAUAACCUCUUCAGGCUUUAGUUUGCCCAUCUGUCAAAUGGGAACCAUGUCUGUGUUCCCUGUUCCCAGGGGUUUUGUGAACAUCAGGUUUCAUGAUGCAUGUGAAAGGGCUUUGAAAAUGGCGAGGCAAUAUUUAAAGGUCAAGUAUAAUUAUGAAUACAUUCUGAUUCCUUUUAAAAUUUCCAUGUAAUCAUUUCUGUAGUCAAGCCUGCUUUUUAUGCAAGGGACAACAGAGCACUCUCCUGAGCAGCCUGUUGUUUUUUGACUUUACUGUUAUCCCACUUGCUGUUCAGUGAUCUGGUUCCAGUUUUACCAUCUAGAGACUGGUUCUUUCUGUGAGCAUGUUUACUUCUCAUUGUCAUUAAUUAAGAUAAGGACAGUGAUUUAUAAGUCACACAGUUGCUUGAGGCAUAGCAUUUAAAAGUGCCACAUGCACUUCUCCCUUUUAAGGUAACACCUUGCAUUACAGUUAAAAACAGACUGUUUGUUUGCAGCAUUUGGAGGCA